AGAUGAAUAAAAUAAUUUAUGUUGCGGUGGUAGUUGAUCCUCGAUAUAAGUUGAAUUUAUGGAAUUUGCUCUUUCAACUGUGUAUGGGAAAGAAAAAGGUAUGGAAUUGGCAAAGAAAAAUAAAUUGGUUGUAUAUGAAUUGUUUGAUGAAUAGAAGAAGAUAUAUCAAGCUGAACAUGGAUGUGGUAGCAGUGUAACGGGAAAUACAAGUGAAAACAAUGAAAGUGAAGGAGUUAAAAAGGUUGAAUUUGGGGCAUCAAUUCUUGAAGCAUAAAAUAGAGGCUAGAGAAGCUAGCAGCAAGUCUGACUUAGAUUGCUAUUUGCAUGAGGACAUUAAAGUGGUGGAUGAAAAAGAAGAAUUUAAUAUAUUAAAGUGGUGGCAACUUAAUUCUAGUAGGUUUCCCAUCCUUUGAAUCAUGGUAAGAGAUAUAUUGGCAGUGCCUAUAUCUACCGUUGCUUCAGAAUCAGCCUUUAGCACUGGAGGUAGAGUGCUUGAUCCUUUUGGGAGUUCUUUAACUCCUAAAAUUGUUGAAGUCUUAAUAUGUGCACAAGAUUGGUUGCGAAAAUCUCAUUGCCACAAAUCCAUUGAAGAGCAAAUAGCUGACCUUGAAAGGCUUGAAGAGGCAUUUUCGCUUUGUGAAAUAAGUAGCACCAAUGAUAAUAUUGUGAACCUGGAUAGUUAAUAUUACAGUUGGUAUUUGAAGCAUUCAGACUUGCUAAUUGGAGACAAAGUGGUGGAAUUAUUAUAAUAUUUUAAUUUGUAAUUAUAUGACUUUUAUAUUAGACACUUGCUUAUUUGCUUUUAUGUUUGAUGUAUUUUAUGGAGUUUGUUUAAUUUGAACUGUAUAAGGACUUUUAUUUUAUUGGUUUGGAUGACUUUCAUUUUAUGUAUUUCGAUUGUUAAGGACUUUUGCAUUUGGUUUU